rnacentral:rRNA from 1 species
UACGAAGGGUGCUAGCGUUGUUCGGAAUCACUGGGCGUAAAGCGCGCGUAAGCGGCUUUUCAAGUCAGGGGUGAAAUCCCACGGCUCAACCGUGGAAUUGCCUUUGAAACUGUAAAGCUUGAGUGUCGGAGGGGAUAGCGGAAUUCCUAAUGUAGAGGUGAAAUUCGUAGAUAUUAGGAGGAACACCGGUGGCGAAGGCGGCUAUCUGGACGACAACUGACGCUGAGGCGCGAAAGCGCGGGGAUCAAACAGG